rnacentral:tRNA from 1 species
GCCCUGGUAGUAUAAGCAUUACACUGGUCUUGUAAACCAGUAAUGAAAAAACCCAUUUUUUCCCAGGACA